CUACGGGUUGCUGCAGUGGGGAAUAUUGCACAAUGGAGGGAACUCUGAUGCAGCAACGCCGCGUGGAGGAUGACACUUUUCGGAGCGUAAACUCCUUUUAUAUAGGAAGAAGAUGACGGUACUAUAUGAAUAAGCGCCGGCUAACUCCGUGCCAGCAGCCGCAGGUAAUACGGAGGGCGCAAGCGUUACUCGGAAUCACUGGGCGUAAAGAGCGUGUAGGCGGAUUAAAAAGUCAGAAGUGAAAUCCUAUAGCUUAACUAUAGAACUGCUUCUGAAACUCUUAAUCUAGAAUAUGGGAGAGGUAGAUGGAAUUUCUGGUGUAGGGGUAAAAUCCGUAGAGAUCAGAAGGAAUACCGAUUGCGAAGGCGAUCUACUAGAACAUUAUUGACGCUGAGACGCGAAAGCGUGGGGAGCAAACAGGAUUAGAUACCCUCGUAGUC
rnacentral:rRNA from 1 species